rnacentral:rRNA from 1 species
UGCUUGAUAAAGGUGGCCUCUGAUUAAGCUAUCGCUUAGAGAUGAGCCUGCGUCCUAUUAGCUAGUUGGUAAGGUAAGAGCUUACCAAGGCGAUGAUAGGUAGGCGGCCUUAACGGGUGGUCGCCCACACUGGGAUUGAGAUACGGCCCAGACUCCUACGGGAGGCAGCAGUCGAGAAUAGUCUACAAUGGGGGAAACCCUGAUAGUGCGACGCCGCGUGAACGAUGAAACCUUUCGGGGCGUAAAGUUCUUUUCUGUGUGAGCAAGCUAUGUAAGAUGAAUAUUUUUAUGUAGAAGAUAUUAGCACAGGAAUAAGCCACGGCUAACUCCGUGCCAGCAGCCGCGGUAACACGGGGGUGGCGAGCGUUGUCCGGAAUCACUAGGCGUAAAGGGCAAGUAGGCGGAAUUAUCAGUCAGGUGUUAAAGGCAUGGGCUUAACCGAUGUAUAGCAUUUGAUACUGUAAUUCUAGAGUGAAGUAGAGGAAGACGGAAUUCCAGGUGUAGCGGUGGAAUGCGCAGAUAUCUGGAAGAACACCGAUGGCGAAGGCAGUCUUCUGGGCUUCAACUGACGCUCAAUUGCGAAGGUGUGGGUAUCGAACAGGAUUAGGUACCCUGGUAGUCCACACAGUAACCGAUAAACACUAGGUGUUGGUGUCGUUAGAAAGACAUCAGUGCCGUAGCAAACGCGCUAAGUGUUUCGCCUGGGGAGUACGAUCGCAAGGUUGAAACUCAAAGGAGUUGACGGGGCCCCGCACAAGCGGUGGAGCAUGUGGUUUAAUUCGAUGCAACGCGAAGAACCUUACCUGGGCUUGACAUCCCGCGAAUCAUUCAGAGAUGAGUGAGUGCCCUUUCGGGGGAACGCGGAGACAGGUGCUGCAUGGCUGUCGUCAGCUCGUGUCGUGAGAUGUUGGGUUAAGUCCCGCAACGAGCGCAACCCCUAUCUUUAGUUACUACCAUUAAGUUGAGGACUCUAAAGAGACUGCCAGUGUAAUAAACUGGAGGAAGGUGGGGACGACGUCAAGUCAUCAUGGUCCUUAUGUCCAGGGCUACACACGUGCUACAAUGGUCGGAACAGAGGGAAGCGAGACAGUGACGUUAAGCGGAACCCAGAAAACCGAUCACAGUUCGGAUUGGAGUCUGCAACUCGACUCCAUGAAGUUGGAGUCGCUAGUAAUCGCGUAUCAGCAUGACGCGGUGAAUACGUUCCCGGGGCUUGUACACACCGCCCGUCAAGUCAGCCGAGUUGAUUGCACCCNGAAGAAGGUAAGCUAACUGCAAAGAGGCAGCUUUCGAAGGUGUGAUUAGCAAGGGGGACUAAGUCGUA